rnacentral:lncRNA from 1 species
GGACGCCAGGACAGCCCCGAAGACGAGAAUGCCUCGCUCCUCCUAGGACGGGAGGAAAAUCCCACAAAUCCUGUCUACUCCAAGCAGCCGCGCCCCUCGGGAGACCACCCCAGUUGGAGGGGCCCACUCCAGCCACCGCUACACCGGGACGCGCUCCUCCUCCCCCUGUGCCCGCCCCUUCUCGUGAGGGACCACCAGGAGGCCCCUCGAUUCCCCAGCAAAACACAGGUUUUGGAGCCAGAGUUUCUGAGUUUGAAUGUUUGGUCUGCUACUGACCAACUCUAUGGGCUUGGGCCUGCAAAGAAAACAUCAAAGAAGAAGGUCAAAAACCAAUUACAUUCUAGGAGUGACCUUGAUGACUUAACUCUGUAAUCUGCAGCAACCUCAGAGGAUCAUGGGAUGCAUUAUGCACGUCAUGGAAUGGAUUGUAAUGUGUAACAUCUAUGAAAUCAAAGGAUGAAGAAGAUCGUGCCCAGAGCUCUCCUUGGGGGUGGAUGACAGAAUGAACAUUUACUCUGGGCUCACUGGAAAAGCUCCAACGUCUUGGAAAUUGAGUGGGUAUAAGGAAUGCACAAAUUAGUUUUCCUGUGACAGCAUGCAGAGCACUUUUCCAAGUCCCCAGCACAGGGGUUCGUAGAAGAGGAAUGACUGAAUCUUCAGGUGUCUGUGGGCUGCCAGGAGGACACUUGGCCAAGAACUAUGUCUCAUCUUGCUUUCUGAGACCUCUUCCCCUCUUUUACACUUGUUCCUGUCUUUUGAAUACCAGGAAGCCCAGGUUGCCUUCUGACCUUCAGAGGCCCUCACACCACC